UUGGAGGGCAAGUCUGGUGCCAGCAGCCGCGGUAAUUCCAGCUCCAAUAGCGUAUAUUAAAGUUGUUGCAGUUAAAAAGCUCGUAGUUGAAUUUCGAGAUCAGUACGCUGGUCGUGCCUUCGGUAUGCACUGGUGUCACUGGUUUCUCCCUUCUGAAGAACCGUCAUGUCAUUAAGUUGGUGUGGCGGGGAAUCAGGACUGUUACUUUGAAAAAAUUAGAGUGUUUAAAGCAGGCUCGCGCUUGAAUACAUUAGCAUGGAAUAAUGAAAUAGGACGUUUGACCCUAUUUUGUUGGUUUCUAGGAUCGACGUAAUGAUUAAUAGGGAUAGUUGGGGGCAUUAGUAUUCAAUUGUCANAGGUGAAAUUCUUGGAUUUAUUGAAGACUAACUACUGCGAAAGCAUUUGCCAAGAAUGUUUUCAUUAAUCAAGAACGAAAGUUAGGGGAUCGAAGACGAUCAGAUACCGUCGUAGUCUUAACCAUAAACUAUGCCGACUAGGGAUCGGAUGAUGUUAAUUUUUUAAUGACUCAUUCGGCGCCUUACGGGAAAC
rnacentral:rRNA from 1 species